rnacentral:rRNA from 1 species
UAGACCGCCUGGGGAGUACGGCCGCAAGGUUAAAACUCAAAUGAAUUGACGGGGGCCCGCACAAGCGGUGGAGCAUGUGGUUUAAUUCGAUGCAACGCGAAGAACCUUACCUGGUCUUGACAUCCACGGAAGAAUCCAGAGAUGGAUUUGUGCCUUCGGGAACCGUGAGACAGGUGCUGCAUGGCUGUCGUCAGCUCGUGUUGUGAAAUGUUGGGUUAAGUCCCGCAACGAGCGCAACCCUUAUCCUUUGUUGCCAGCGAUUAGGUCGGGAACUCAAAGGAGACUGCCAGUGAUAAACUGGAGGAAGGUGGGGAUGACGUCAAGUCAUCAUGGCCCUUACGACCAGGGCUACACACGUGCUACAAUGGCGCAUACAAAGAGAAGCGACCUCGCGAGAGCAAGCGGACCUCAUAAAGUGCGUCGUAGUCCGGAUUGGAGUCUGCAACUCGACUCCAUGAAGUCGGAAUCGCUAGUAAUCGUGGAUCAGAAUGCCACGGUGAAUACGUUCCCGGGCCUUGUACACACCGCCCGUCACACCAUGGGAGUGGGUUGCAAAAGAAGUAGGUAGCUUAACCUUCGGGAGGGCGCUUACCACUUUGUGAUUCAUGACUGGGGUGAAGUCGUAACAAGGUAACCGUAGGGGAACCUGCGGUUGGAUCACCUCCUUACCUGAAAGAAGC